AGAAUGUUCCAGAGCUCAAGGCACCACAAGCCUGUCUACUACUAAACCUGAGGAAGUAGAAGAAGAAAGCCAUGUUAAUGAUGAAGAGGAACCGCUUAUCCAAUCAGUUGAAUGUCGUAUUUGCCAAGAGGAGGAUUCUGUUAAGAACCUCGAGUCUCCAUGUUCUUGUAGCGGCAGCUUGAAGGUGAGUUCUUCUUCUGUUUUUUUCGGUAUAUUGUAGCUGAAAACUGAACUACUUUGGUUUUCUGUUGUAUCCAGUAUGCUCACAGGAAGUGUGUUCAGCGUUGGUGUAAUGAGAAAGGCGACACCAUCUGUGAGAUAUGCCACAAGGUAAACAUAUAUAAUCAAUGUUCAAGAAAUCGCUAGGCGGUGGUUAAACGUUUUAUAUCAGAUUAUUGAUUAUGCGGGCAUCUAGACCAAAAUGCCCAAGAAAAAAAACAGAAUCGGCAUAAUAUUUUUUAAGAAAAAUCGUUUGGUUUGGGUCUAAUUUGCAGCCGCCUAGACCGAUUUUUAGAAAAAUAAAUGUCAUCAUUGAUUAUAAUCAUUUUCAUUGCAAUUACUAAGAUCUUUGUUUUCUUCUCCCUUGAUGAUAACAACAGUCUUAUCAACCUGGCUACACAGCUCCACCACCUCCUCCUCCUGAUGAUACCAUUAUCGAUAUGGGGUAACAUUUUCUGAACCUGUCUCUUGUGGUUUCAUAUAGCAUAAUAUUAUUUUUAUUCAAGAAACGUUUGUUGUGUUUGUGUGUGUUAUGCAGUGAAGAUUGGGGUAAUGGUGUUCCCUUAGACUUGAACGACCCGCGCAUUUUAGCAAUGGCGGCUGCAGAACGCCACUUCUUCGAUGCUGACUAUGAUGAGUAUGCUGAUUCUAACUCUAGUGGAACUGCGUUUCUUCGCUCUGCUGCACUUAUCGUAAGCCCCCACAUUAAUGUUCUGUUUAUAACAUUUCUUUGUUGAAAAAUUGAAACUUAUUGAGAGUUGAAAUGGCAGUUAAUGGCACUUUUGUUGUUAAGACACGCUAUGAACCUUUCAAACAACAACUCAGACGACGAAGAAGAUGAUCCAUCAGCUUUCUUCUUUGUAAGCAACAUCUCUUGCUACACCGUUAAAUAAUCUCUCGUUUUGAAUGUUUUGAGCCUGAAGGCCCAUGAUGAGGCCCAAACCAUUUUAAAUUAAUUUUUCUUGAAAAAAAAAUAUCUUGUCAUAGUAUUUACUCUCUCUCUCUCUCUCCCUUUGGUUUCGGACAGCUUUUCAUGCUACGUGCUGCUGGUUUUCUCCUCCCGUGUUACAUCAUGGCUUGGGCCAUCAGUAUAUUACAACGCCGUAGACAAAGACAGGUAAAAUAACACACUCCACACACAUUAGUCUAAGCUUAUGUUUACUCUCUUAUGUUCUUGUGUUUGUGAAUAUCAGGAAGCAGCGGCUCUGGCCGCUGCAGAAGUUGCGUUUAUGUUACACAGCGGUGGAGGACAACGCAGAGGAGGAUUGCACUAUGCUGUAGCACCUGAGCUGGUACCGAGUCCACAAGGGCAACAACACCAACCUGAAGCUGCACCGCAAUGAUUAUAUAUAGUCUUGAUCACUAGUGAGGAAAGUAAAAACAUCAUCCAGGGAUUUGGUUUCUCUGUCUGUAGUAGCUGUUUGUUGUUUAUUCGGUUCUUGGAACAGAGCAAAAAAUUAAAAGCUUCAAAAUUUCAAUUUAAAGCAACAAGAGUCAGCAAGCAAAUUCAUCUUCUGAACCUCCCACCUCUACCACCACCACGUCCACCUCUUCUUCCCCCACCGCGACCUCCCCCACCGUGCCCAUUACCGUUAGACCCAGGAGUUUUCAUGUUUUCAGGCAACGGGAGGAUGUGAUCAACGCACUUCCUGUAGCUGAAAUCAUCAGCAGUGUCGUCUUCCCUAACCAAAAAGAAGCACCUGCUCUUCCACAUCGGAUGGGUUCUUACUUGGAAGGCUUUGAUCCCUCCUCCAAUCUUAUUGUCAGGCUCAGUAUGGCCUUUCUUGAUCAGAUCUAACAGCACCAUGUGUUCAUACUGAAAAAUGUAACAAAUUAGUUAUAACCUCCAAAGAAACUGCAAUAACAAGCACAUACAGUAUACAUCAACUUAACCUCUGUUGUCUAACCAAUAUUCAGAAAAUUACAAGAACACACUUCCUAUUCAUGCAAAUGUAUAUAUAUAUAUAUAAAAGAUUUUUUUUUUUUUUUUUUGCAAAUAACUUUCGAGUAGUAAUCAAAGUAACAUCUGCAAAGGAACACACUUCCCAAUCUGUUUCAGUUGGGCUACAAAGUCACGAUUUUUAUCAUGUAUUAUUAUCCUCUUCCUAAACACAUUGCAUCAUCCACAACCACAAAUGUUAUUAUUUAUUUAUUUAUUUGUGCACAAAUGUUAUUAACAAUCAAUAAAUAAGAGACAAAACAGAGUAUCUACACACAACACAAACUCAAUCAAAACCGACAAAGAACAGACAUUUUUGCAAAGAACUUUCCAGCAGUAAUCAAACUAAGAACUAACAAAGGAACACACUUCACAGUUGAUAAAUCAUCUUUCCUAAACAAGUUGAGUUUCAUUGUAAAGUUUCAAUUUUUUAUUAUAACCCAAUAUCAACAACCCAACAAACAUAAUAAAAAUCGAAACUUUACAAUUAAAAAAAGGCAAAAAGACAAGAAGAAGAUCAACACUACAUACCUUGUUGACAUCGAGAUCAGUUGGCCAGAAGUGCAUAAACUUGGUGAAGUAAUCAAACAUCGCCACAGAGGUAACGAACUCCUUCGGACCCAGCUUAACCGGAUCCGACCCGUUGGGUUUCUCUUCCUCUUCCACUUUCUGCUUCUUGGAUUCGCCUCCAUCCUCUGUUUCCUUCGUCUCCUCUCUCGCGCGUUUCUCCGCAGCCUCCACUUCCAUGUCUGUUAUUGGUUCAGCUGGCGCGGAAGCUACGAUCUCUUGUUGCUCAGCCAUUGUUAAGCUUUCGCCUUUUCUCUCUUUCUAUGGUUGCUAGGGUUUAAGCUUUAGGUCGAGUGUCCUCCUACUAAAAAUAAGGUGAGCGGCGUGUUUAUAUAUUACCGUCGGUUUUUGAUUGAACCGAACCGGUUUAUUCCGGUUUUGUUAAUUGUUUGUUUAUUUAUACUACUUUACUAAUUUCCCUCUGUAGAAUUCUACAAUUAGCUUCUUUUUUUUAAUGAGAUGUUAAUUGUUAAUGAGUUUGAAAGGUAAAAUUUAGUUGUCAAAAAAAAAGUUCAUAAAAAUUUCCAACUUGCUGCUAAUUUUUAACAGUUAUUUUUUUAAAUAUAUAUAUUAGAAUAUAAUUUACAUUUAUCAGAGUUAAUUUAUUCAUUUAUAAUGUUUUUAGAAAUUUUCAUUUAAGCAUUAGAUAUUCAAGUCACAAGAAGGUUUAUAUAUUUUUAUUGGAAUGAAUAAUUCAUUGAUAAACACCUAAAAUUAAUUAGUUUUAUCUUUAUUUGUUAAAAAAAGUUAUAUAUAUUAUCUACAUUUAUUGAUUUCACUAGAUUUUUUUUUUGUAUUUUCUAGUUAAGAAUAAAUACAAGAUCUUUAUUUAUUAUUUUAAUUAAAUUGGUUUCUUUGAAACCUUGAUUGUGACCAGGAUUGAUACAAAAUAAAAAAAUUAUGAAAUAUCUGAUAGCAACCAAGAAAGUAACUCCGUUACCGUUUGGUUUGAGAGUAGGUGAGAGUACCGUGAGAUAGAUUAUUAUCAACUCAACUCUUCUGAGAAUGCCUUCUAACGGACGCACCGUGUUAAACCGUCAACAUCCACAGCUCCGGUUUGUGUAUUGAAAACGUAUAGUACAGUAAACACGCGCUUCGAGACAUUUAAUAUACUUAUCUGAAAAUCAUUCAGACCGAACAUCAACACAAGAAAACACAUUUUGUACCAAAGUUUCGUUCGAUAGCUGUUCGUGCCUUCAAAAAAUCAUCGAUAGAUAGCUUCUUUCUACGAUUCUAGAGUAUAUUCUAUCAGGUAACAAUAACAAUCUUUGAUCUUCUCUGUCCUCUAGGGUUACGGUUGCUUGUUUCUGCGAUUGAGAAUUUUGAUUUCUGAAUUGUGAUCGAAUCUUCUCUCUCUCUCGUUCGUUCGUGUUCAUGGUUGAGAUUGGAUCCUAAACAUUUGUUGGGAGCUUUCUUGUUUUUUUUUAACAGGUCAACGUUUUUUUUCAGCAUUGAGGGUAAAGUGUGAGAGAGAUGUCAGAUCAUCUGAGUUCAUGUACCGACCGUCUCGUUACAUCUGAUCACCUUAAUUCAGAGGGAGGAUCCAAUGAAUCUUCUGGAGAAUGUUCCAGAGCUCAAGCCACUACUAAACCUAUAGAUGAUAAGGAAGGAAGCGAGCAAGAACACGUCAUUGAUGAAGAGGAGCCGCUUAUUCAAUCAGUUGAGUGUCGUAUUUGCCAAGAAGAGGAUUCUGUUAAGAACCUCGAGUCUCCAUGUUCUUGUAGCGGCAGCUUGAAGGUGAGUUGUUCUUGUGUUUUUGUCAGUACAUUUCUACCUGAAAACUGAACUACUUUGGUUUUAUGUUUUAUCUAGUAUGCUCAUAGGAAGUGUGUUCAGCGUUG
rnacentral:lncRNA from 1 species